AAGACUAUAGACCUGCGGAGUACCUGCGGAAGGAUCAUUACUGUGAUUUACUACUACACUGCGUGAGCGGAACGAAAACAACAACACCUAAAAUGUGGAAUAUAGCAUAUAGUCGACAAGAGAAAUCUACGAAAAAACAAACAAAACUUUUAACAAUGGAUCUCU
rnacentral:misc_RNA from 1 species